rnacentral:misc_RNA from 1 species
GAAAAGGGACUCCGGUCCCUGGGACAAGCCCCCGCCGAGCCCCUGGGCUCCCCGGGUGGUGACACCCCUUACCCUUUGUUUACCUUACCUCUGUUGCUUUGGCAAGGCUCCUGCCCGGGUGGUUCCGGGCUUCAGCUCUGCCAGAGGACCAAACUCUGUCAUUUAUGUCGUCUGAUUACUAUUUAAUAGUUAAAACUUUCAACAACGGAUCUCUUGGUUCU